rnacentral:rRNA from 1 species
UGGGGAAUAUUGGACAAUGGGCGGAAGCCUGAUCCAGCCAUGCCGCGUGUGUGAAGAAGGCCUUUUGGUUGUAAAGCACUUUAAGCGAGGAGGAGGCUACUAGUACUAAUACUACUGGAUAGUGGACGUUACUCGCAGAAUAAGCACCGGCUAACUCUGUGCCAGCAGCCGCGGUAAUACAGAGGGUGCGAGCGUUAAUCGGAUUUACUGGGCGUAAAGCGUGCGUAGGCGGCUGAUUAAGUCGGAUGUGAAAUCCCUGAGCUUAACUUGGGAAUUGCAUUCGAUACUGGUUAGCUAGAGUGUGGGAGAGGAUGGUAGAAUUCCAGGUGUAGCGGUGAAAUGCGUAGAGAUCUGGAGGAAUACCGAUGGCGAAGGCAGCCAUCUGGCCUAACACUGACGCUGAGGUACGAAAGCAUGGGGAGCAAACAGG